rnacentral:rRNA from 1 species
CAGGACAGCACGAUAGGCGACGCCGGACGCAGUUUCCUCUUCUUUUCUUCGCGUCGCCCUGCAACCCCACCCACCGCCGCCGCCACCCAGCACCACAAGCCCGCACGAUCCCUCUCCGCGUCCUUGGUCGCCGACUUCCGAUAAGCUUCGACGCCGCGCUCGCACGAGCUAGCGCAAAGCUCCAGCAUAUUAUCCCCAAUUUCGGAAGUCCGAUCCCCGGUUCGAUCCAGAACACCCUUUUUUUGUAGGGUUUGGUUUUGGCCCGUGGAUCUAGGGUUUGGUGAGCCAAUUUUCCCCGAUUCCCUUCGAUUGCUGGGAUUUGUUGUGCCUGCGCAUCAUGGCCGCGGGGCGCCACGGAGGGUACAGUGGCUACGAGGUGUCGAAGGAGCGGGAGUUCGAUCUGGAGGCUUCUAGAAGGGGCAAGGAUUACCAUCACCGCAACCCUAGCCGACACCGCGACUCAGAUCGUCGUCGUGAUGGCGGCCGGAGCAGGGACCGGGAGCCGUCAAAUGGGCACACCCGCCACCGGUCGCCACAUCUGCCACUGAAGAGCCGGCCGUCAGGGAGGAGGGAGGAGAGGGAACCCGGCGAGGUUUCAAGCGGAAGUGGCUCGGAAGAGUCUCGUGGGUGUCCGCUCAAGGCAAGGGAACCUGGUGUGAAUGGUGUUGCUGGGGUCAGCAGGGAGGGCGGGGUGCCAUCCCCAACUAAGAAGCGAAAAUACUCGCCUAUUAUUUUGGACAGGAAUGGUUCAAAGCCUCGUGUCCAAGAUUUUGCGAGUAGCAUGAAAGAUGUAGGCACUGUGGUUGCCAACCUCCCAGAUGUUGGCAACCCGAGCAGCAUUGAUUUGGAUGCAUCGGUUGAUGUACAAAAUGUUGAAAGAUUACAGGAGCACUGCAAUGAUAGGGUUAUUAUGGAGGAGGAUGAGGAGGAGGAUGCUUAUCCAACAAUGAUAAACAUUAGGACUUCACGAUGGGCAGAUGCUGAUGACGAGGAAGAAAUUGUGUCGAAGAAGAAGAAAAGCGUGUCACCAGAACAAGGGUCCGUGAAAAAGCUUACAAGCCCAGAGCUUGGAAAGUUGAUGAUGGAUAAAGACUCAAACUCCUCAGUGUCGUCUGACUCUGGCGUAGUACAGUUUAGUGCAAACAGGGAUCUUGAAGUAGAUAAGGGUGACUACAUGGAUAUCGAGAAGGAUGCUGGGGAUGAUUCUUCUGCUCUUUGUGGGAUGCACACUGAUUCUGAGAGUCAUCGGUGUAGCUCUAGAACCCCAGAGCCCGCAGGGUCACCGCAUAGGUGCAUUAACAUGCUUCAGGGUUGUAGGGGUGUUGACGAGUUUGAGAGGCUCAACACAAUUAAUGAGGGUACAUACGGUAUUGUAUCUAGGGCAAAGGAUAAGAAAACUGGUGAGAUUGUUGCAUUGAAGAAGGUAAAGAUGGAGAAUGAACGGGAAGGUUUCCCACUGACUUCUCUCAGGGAAAUAAAUAUCCUGCUAUCGUUCCAUCACCCUUCGAUUGUGGAUGUCAAGGAAAUAGUCGUUGGGAGUGGUGACAGCACCUAUAUGGUGAUGGAGUACAUGGAGCACGAUCUCAAGGCUGUCAUGGAGACUAUGAAACAACCAUAUAGUCAAAGCGAGGUCAAAUGUUUGAUGCUUCAGCUGCUAGAAGGUGUGAAGUAUCUUCAUGACAAUUGGGUGAUUCACAGGGAUCUCAAGACGUCUAAUAUUCUCUUGAAUAACCGCGGUGAGUUGAAAAUAUGUGAUUUUGGGCUCUCUCGUCAAUAUGGCAGUCCACUAAAGCCUUACACUCAAUUGGUUGUGACUUUGUGGUACAGGGCUCCAGAACUACUGUUAGGCGCAAAGGAAUAUUCCACUGCUAUUGAUAUGUGGUCGUUGGGUUGUAUUAUGGCAGAACUCCUUUCAAAAAAGCCACUGUUUGAUGGGAAACGUGACAUCGACCAACUUAGUAAGAUAUUUAGAAUGCUUGGUACACCUAACGAGGACCUAUGGCCUGGUUAUUCUAAAUUACCGGGCGCCAGGGCCAAAUUUGCCAAACAACCGUACAAUAGAUUACGGGAAAAGUUUCCAGCUGUAUCUUUCACUGGUGGGCUGACCCUGUCAGAGGCUGGAUUUGACCUGCUAAACAGAAUGCUGACGUAUGACCCUGAAACGCGCAUAUCAGCAGAGGAUGCGUUGAACCAUGAAUGGUUCUGUGAAGUACCAUUGCCUCAGUCAAGGGAUUCUAUGCCAACAUUUCAUUCCCUUAAUGAACAAGACAGGCGCAUGAUGAAACGCAUGAAGAGCCCUGAUCCUCUGGAGGAGCAACGAAUGAAAGAACUGGGGAGCAUACACGACCGUGGAAUUUUUGGCUGAGCCCUGAUCUUUUGGUUUGCUGCAGAUGCCAAUCUUCAAUUAACAUGAACCUAAUGGAAGUGCAUGUGUUCCAAGGUUAGACGUCCACUGGAUAUAUGAAGUACACCGUCUUCUUGGUGUCUGGCGACAGUUGGUGGCCUUCUUUAGCAGGCAUGGAUGCAUAAUCAGAAGGGGAUACGAUUUCUCCUUAUAUUCCGUGCUAGGCACUAUUUCAUUUACAGGGUUAGCUCUUCCCCAACUUCUGGUCACAAUGAACUCUACUUUACUUGGUCACAAUCUAAUCCACUGUGCAUUGUAAGGUGUGCAAAUAUCUCAUACAGCUGCAUCGUAUGGUCUGGCCUAUUCACAGCUAUUGGGUACACCAGUUUCACAUACCGAUCUUCUGUAUGUAAAGUACUGUAAAGUGUAUUCCUUGUAAACAACAAUCAAUGAGAUCUUCUCACUUCAUUUUUCCUUGUUAAGCACAUUUUAUUUUGAUCUUUGCAUAUUCUCUGCAAGAGAUGAAUGAAGCGAAGAAGGGGAGUACCUUUUGCUUUUUCGCGAGGAAACUGAUGCAUAGUAAUGCAAAUUGUAAGGUAAUAUGCUGAGGAAUUAAUUUCCCACUGAUGUGUUAUCGUGCUAUAUAAAUUCGACGUAUUUAUCAUUUUUUAUCUCUGUGUUUGUGGAUGUUCUGUGUGAAUGGUCUUGUAAGCUCAGGUGAGCUUUGGCGUUGUUUGGAAAUAUCUAAAAUUGUACAUACAUAUUUUAUGGCUUAUUCUGCUUGAUAUGUUCAUGUUGUCUGUUAUUGUACUAUAUGAAAUUCUAACUUACAUAAUGAAUGCAAACCAAAAAGGACAAAUUAAUACUUAUGAACUUCUUUUGUGCAGUCAAUGCAACUUCCGUCGUAAGAGAACAACUAAUGUCGUCUUAAAAACACAACUAAUUUUAUAUUGCGAAAUGGAGACCCUUCAUUUCUGUUAUUGUUUGCUUUCCUGAAAACAGGAAUUUGAGAGCAAAGUUUGGAAAUUAACUUCCCAUGACCUUUGUUAUCCCAAAUCUAG